rnacentral:rRNA from 1 species
UACCAGCACCCCGAGUGGUCGGUACGAUUAUUGGGCCCAAAGCAUCCGUAGCCGGUCAUGCAAGUCCUCCGUUAAAUCCACCUGCUUAACAGAUGGGCUGCGGAGGAUACUACAAGGCUAGGAGGCGGAAGAGGCAAGCGGUACUCAGUGGGUAGGGGUAAAAUCCUCUGAUCCAUUGAAGACCACCAGUGGCGAAGGCGGCUUGCCAAUACGCGCUCGACGGUGAGGGAUGAAAGCUGGGGGAGCAAACCGG